rnacentral:rRNA from 1 species
GAUGAACGCUGGCGGCGUGCCUAAUACAUGCAAGUCGAGCGAACAGACGAGGAGCUUGCUCCUCUGACGUUAGCGGCGGACGGGUGAGUAACACGUGGAUAACCUACCUAUAAGACUGGGAUAACUUCGGGAAACCGGAGCUAAUACCGGAUAAUAUAUUGAACCGCAUGGUUCAAUAGUGAAAGACGGUUUUGCUGUCACUUAUAGAUGGAUCCGCGCCGCAUUAGCUAGUUGGUAAGGUAACGGCUUACCAAGGCAACGAUGCGUAGCCGACCUGAGAGGGUGAUAGGCCACACUGGAACUGAGACACGGUCCAGACUCCUACGGGAGGCAGCAGUAGGGAAUCUUCCGCAAUGGGCGAAAGCCUGACGGAGCAACGCCGCGUGAGUGAUGAAGGUCUUCGGAUCGUAAAACUCUGUUAUUAGGGAAGAACAAAUGUGUAAGUAACUAUGCACGUCUUGACGGUACCUAAUCAGAAAGCAACGGCUAACUACGUG